AGAAAGUUCUGCGAAUGUGGUUGACAAUUUUAUCGAUUCUGACGAUGAUGACAGUGUUGGGAAAAUAUUAUCUGUGAGUUCAAAUCAUGGACAAAAUUCCUGGAUUCUUGAUACUGGUGCUACUUAUCAUAUGUGUCCACACAGAAACUUAUUUGUCACUUACAAACAGAUGAGUUGCAAGAUGUUUCUGAGCAAUGAUCAUGCAUUAUCUAUGGAAGGAAUUGGUAACAUCAGAUUG
rnacentral:misc_RNA from 1 species